rnacentral:rRNA from 1 species
UACGGAGGAUGCGAGCGUUAUCCGGAUUUAUUGGGUUUAAAGGGCGUGCAGCCGGAGAGACAAGUCAGAUGUGAAAUCCACGGGCUCAACCCGUGAACUGCAUUUGAAACUGUUUCCCUUGAGUGUCGGAGAGGUAAUCGGAAUUCCUUGUGUAGCGGUGAAAUGCGUAGAUAUAAGGAAGAACACCAGUGGCGAAGGCGGAUUACUGGACGAUAACUGACGGUGAGGCGCGAAAGCGUGGGGAGCAAACAGG